CUCGCCGAAGGCAAUAUCUCGCCUCUUUCUGCCGGGAACUCGUCACUGGCGAGUUUAUACUCUUUACUACAUGUAAACAGUCCCCCGGGUUUACUACUGUAUAAGUUUCUAUAAUAUAGCCGGGAUCUUGUCGUUGACGAGUAUAAACUCGACUUGCCGGGUAAUUCGCCUCGAUAUAAAUAGGCCUAUAAAGACUCCCAUCUUG